GCUUGUCUCAAAGAUUAAGCCAUGCAUGUCUAAGUAUAAGCAUUAUACAGUGAAACUGCGAAUGGCUCAUUAUAUCAGUUAUAGUUUAUUUGAUAGUCUCUGCUAUUUGGAUAACCGUAGUAAUUCUAGAGCUAAUACAUGCACCAAGCGCGCUUUUACGAGCGCGUGUAUUUAUUAGAUACAAUCAACCCUUCGGGUUUUGAUGAGUCAUAAUAACUUUCGGAUCGAUUUAUCGAUGCAUCAUUCAAGUUUCUGCCCUAUCAGCUUUGGAUGGUAGGGUAUUGGCCUACCAUGGCUUUAACGGGUAACGGAGAAUUAGGGUUCGAUUCCGGAGAGGGAGCCUGAGAAAUGGCUACCACAUCCAAGGAAGGCAGCAGG
rnacentral:rRNA from 1 species